GGGGGCGAAAGGUCUCGACAGGGGUCAUGCUCAUCGUGCGGAUGCAUGUCGGGCUUACUCUAUGCGGCUCGUGAAAAAGCAUGGGGAAACACAAUUGCCAAUAAUCAAGAAUUGGCCCUUGCUGCCUAAUUAAAGUUAGCCAGUGAGCGUCUCGCCGCAAGUCGCUCAAGCGCGCGGAGUGAGAUGUCACACAGUUGAGCUGGCCUGCCGUUUGUGUUCGGGGACGGCGGGCGAGAUUAAACCGGACUAGCCGCUGGCGGGGUCUUCGUCGCUUCACUGACCUGCCGGGGGCGAACCAGCCCGGAGCAAGACCGGGCGCAAGAGAAGCGGCUACACAUGUAGAUUCCGACGGUGGCGACCUUUGGACCCGAGUUCGAUUCUCGGCGCCUCCACUU
rnacentral:tmRNA from 1 species